AGCGAACGCUGGCGGCAGGCCUAACACAUGCAAGUCGAACGAACUCUUCGGAGUUAGUGGCGGACGGGUGAGUAACACGUGGGAACGUGCCUUUAGGUUCGGAAUAACUCAGGGAAACUUGUGCUAAUACCGAAUGUGCCCUUCGGGGGAAAGAUUUAUCGCCUUUAGAGCGGCCCGCGUCUGAUUAGCUAGUUGGUGAGGUAAAGGCUCACCAAGGCGACGAUCAGUAGCUGGUCUGAGAGGAUGAUCAGCCACAUUGGGACUGAGACACGGCCCAAAGUCCUACGGGAAGCAGCAGUGGGGAAUCUUGCGCAAUGGGCGAAAGCCUGACGCAGCCAUGCCGCGUGAAUGAUGAAGGUCUUAGGAUUGUAAAAUUCUUUCACCGGGGACGAUAAUGACGGUACCCGGAGAAGAAGCCCCGGCUAACUUCGUGCCAGCCGCCGCAGUAA
rnacentral:rRNA from 1 species